GAUGAACGCUGGCGGUCUGCUUAACACAUGCAAGUCGAACGGGCUCUUCGGAGCUAGUGGCGGACGGGUGAGUAACGCGUGAGAAUCUGCCUUCAGGAGGGGGAUAACGACUGGAAACGGUCGCUAAUACCCCAUAUGCCUCCGGGUGAAAAGUAAUUCGCCUGAAGAUGAGCUCGCGUCAGAUUAGCUAGUUGGUGGGGUAAGAGCCUACCAAGGCGACGAUCUGUAGCUGGUCUGAGAGGAUGAUCAGCCACACUGGGACUGAGACACGGCCCAGACUCCUACGGGAGGCAGCAGUGGGGAAUUUUCCGCAAUGGGCGCAAGCCUGACGGAGCAAGACCGCGUGGGGGAUGACGGCCUAAUGGUUGUAAACCCCUUUUCUCUGGGAAGAAGACUGACGGUACCAGAGGAAUCAGCCUCGGCUAACUCCGUGCCAGCAGCCGCGGUAAUACGGAGGAGGCAAGCGUUAUCCGGAAUUAUUGGGCGUAAAGCGUCCGUAGGUGGUUAUUCAAGUCUGCUGUCAAAGCGUGGGGCUUAACUCCAUAGAGGCAGUGGAAACUGAGUGACUAGAGUGCGGUAGGGGUCGAGGGAAUUCCCAGUGUAGCGGUGAAAUGCGUAGAUAUUGGGAAGAACACCAGUGGCGAAAGCGCUCGACUGGGCCUGCACUGACACUGAGGGACGAAAGCUAG
rnacentral:rRNA from 1 species